GGGAUCACUUCCAAAUCUGCAAUUUCACAGUUGUACUAGAUAUUUUAGGAAGCUGUUUGUCUCUUCUAUGCAUCUGGAGACCUUUGAAGAUGUCUUAACCCAACUUGAUGUGAUGUUUCCUGGGAUCAGGGAGGAGGUAUUGGAUACCCUUGGGCACUAUUUUGAAUUAGGAUGGCAAACUGAACCUAUGAAGCCUGCACCAAUGUUAAUCAAAUUUUGUAUGCUGGUUCCUGUGAUCAAGGAGCAGGGUUUGGAUACAAUCUGAUUCAAAAUGGUGGACUGAAUUAUUCAAAUCUGCAUGCAUUUAGACACCUCUUACAAUAUCACAACUAUUUUUGUGUGUGUAAUGGUUCCUGAGAUCAUGGAAUAGGUUUUCUUCUGUGUUUGGCUACCAGUGGACACCAUUUUGAAUCAAGAUGGCAGAUUGUACCUUUCUAAACUGCACUGCUCCCUCCCCCCAAAUUCCUGAUCAGCAUUGUUUACAAGGCUGCUAGUAGUUAAUUUAUAAGCAAAACAGAGCCUUUCCUUCAUUUAAAAUAGAGGGGGGAUGCUUAGCAAUAGUUUUUGGGGUGAGAAAAGUCUCUGCAUUGAAUAUUAGCAGUAAAGAUGGGCAAAGCUGUUAAUUUCAUCCCGUUUCAGCCUUGCUGGCACUCUGUCAUAGAUUGUUCAAUCUCCUUGCACCCAUACAUACAUACAUACAUACCUAAAUGCAUAUGUAUUGCAUACUUUUUCAAUGUUUUUCAAUGUAUUUGCCAGCAAAGUACGCCUGUUGUGUUUGUUGUUCACAGAAAGUAUACAUUUUGUGUGCAUUUUUUGCACAUGAAUAGUACAUUGAAAAAUUCAGAGGAGUGCACAGUCUGACUAGGAUUUGCAUUCUAGUGAAAUUGGGUUGGCCUGUCCUAGUUAGAAGGAAUGAGACAGAUAAAUAGAUCGAUGGAUAGAUGGGCAGAUCAAAACAAUUCCUUUGCUAGGAAAAAAGCCUGUGUAAAACCCAGUACAUUUUUGCAAAUUCCAGGCUAGUUGGCUUUUGAACAGAUGUGUCAUUUGAAGGCAAAGCCUCAUUUGGUCUGGUGAGCUUGCCCUGGUUUUGAAUCCCAGCUGCUGGUGUACAAAACCAUAAAUUGGCUCGGGCUUGCUUGAACGACUCCUGAACUUUUCAGGGAACCUUUUGAUGAACCUGCUCUGGAUUUUGGGCUGGGGGGGGGGAGGCGUGCUCAGAAGGCAAUCAUGAAAGCUAACACCAGGUGAGGUUCACUCAGAGCCAAACGUUUUCAUGAGCUAUGGGUUGGGAAAGGAAGGAGGGGGGCAUCUUUCUAAUUAGAAAGCAGAGUCUAAAGCUAAGAGACAUUAACAAGCCCUGGCUACUGUCUGACCAGCAGUAAAUCCCAGAAUUGAUUUAGUUCUAAGUUUCUAAAAAGUUUAGUGCACAAAAAAAGCUUGCUCUUUUUUUGAGACAGAGAGAGAGGGCAGGACAACUUCUUAAAAGCUCAAGGGGAGCAGGGGAAAGGAAGCUCUUGUAAGCAGACCCUCAGAAAUGCCAUUUUGAUUUAACCUUAUUGUCCUAGAAAGGAAGGAUUGCAUCUGCAAACAUACCUUUCUUUGCUGCUUUUGUCAAUAGCAAAGUUGUUUUGCUAAUGGUUAUCUGCUAACAAGUCCUUGACCUGCUUGUAAACACUUUUUUUUUUUUUUUGCCGGAAAACCUCAGGCCGUGGCCUCGGGCCUUUGCGUCAACAACAAGAGAUAAAGUGACCACAACUUAACCUGCUCUGGCCUGGAGUGCCCUCUGCUGCCCCUUGACCAAGUGACUUUCUAAUCUGUGUCCUUCUGAAAGGAAUGGGGAGCUUAUAAGGGUGGGCCAGAGACUGGGAAAGAUGCAUUAGCUAGGAGGAAAUCAAUUUCCUUUACAGUCUUUCCCAUCCUCUUUCAGUGGGAAGCACUUAAUUGAAAGUGGUGGGUGAUUAAAUACCCAAGAGUAGGAUGGGGUGUCUAUGUUUUGGAGAAAACACUUCCCUAACACCUUGUUCUUUCAUUCACUCCCACUAUAUAUGAGAACUGCACAUGGUGGGAUCCACCCAAAAGUAUAAUUUCUGCAACCAGAAUAUUGAAGAUUCUGCAAUCAGAACGAAUACAGGGGACUUUUGGAGGAGGAGAAUUGGGAGAGGAAAAUGAAAUGACAAUCAAGGCCAGCCCUACCAUGAGGCAUUGGGUUUCAAAAGCAAAUUGAGAGGGGCAGAAGAACGCUUAUCCACUUCCACUAUCUAUUGUUGCCUCCUGCCACCCUACCAUUUCCAUUCUACCUUUGGAGGCAAACUGACACUCAUCUCUGGAAUCUCAGCAACAGGGAACUGGCACUUCAAAUUCCCCAAAUUAAACAUCUUUUGAAGUUAAAGGAUUCGGUAAAUUCAUGGAGGAUGUGGUUUAUCAGUGGCCACUAAACCUGAUGGAUAUGUUCUACAUCCACUGUAUAAUGAGUGAAAACAAUGGAGGACUUCUGAGAAGGAAUGGGGAGAUGAAAUGGUGGUCAAAGCCUUGAUCAAAGGGAUGGAGCGAGUCUCCUAAGAGGAACAGUUGCAGCAUUUUGGGGACUUUGUAGUUUAAGGAAAAGGCAAGUAAGAGGAGGCAUGAUCAUCUAAAUUUAUGCAUAGCAUGGAGAAAGUGGAUUGAGAAAAGCUUUUCUCCCUCUCUCACAACACUAGAUCUCAUGGACGUCCAAUAAAGCAGAACGUUAAAAGAUUCAGGACAUAUAAAAAUGAACUUCUUCAUGCACUACAUAGUCAUUCUGUGGAGCACUCCUGCAGGAGGUAGUGAUGGCCCCCAAAUUUAAAAGGCUAUAAGAAAAGAUUAGACAAAUUCAUAGAGAACAAGUCUGUAAAUUGCUGCUAGCUACAAUGGAGGCUAUGUUCUGCCUCCACAGUCAGAGCAGUGUGCUUCUGAAUGCCAGUUGCUAGCAACUGUAGAGCAGGGAGAAUGCUCUUAUGUUUAGAUCUUGCUUUACAGCCUUCUCACUGACAUCUGGUCAGCCACUGUGAGAACAGGAUGCUGGACUAGAUGGGUCAUUGGUUUGACCCAGCAUGCUCUUCUUAUGUUCCUUGAUGGGAAGAAGCUUCCUUGCUUUGUGGUUGAGCACCUGCUCUGCAUGCAGAAGGCCCAAAGUUUAAUCCCCAAGUAGAACUGGGCAAGAUUCCUGUCUGAGCCCCCGGAGAACUGCUGCCAUCUGGGGUUGUCAGUGCUGAGCUAGAUGGGUUGACUUUGUCUAAGACAGCUUCCUCUGUUCCUACCAUGGAAUGAGCCCUUAGGAGCUAUAUCUUCCAUGUGUUGAAUUGUGGAGUGAUGGUGGCAUCAGAUGAAAUUUCUCUGCAUUUUCUCUAUCAUGGUAAGGUCGGAAGCAUAAGCAGAAAAUGUGGAGCACCCCAGAGCUUUCCUUGCUAGCAACAAAUAAGGAACAUUCCACAGGGACUGUAACUGGAUUCUCUAAGCAUAUUCAGGUAUUGGAGUAUAUUUCACUGUUAUAUUCAUAUUGUCAAUAAUGGGACCUUUCUGCAGGAAAUGAGGACUCUUUCUGUAAACAUAAUAAUAUUUGGAAGAGGGGAAAAAAGCACAGCAAAUGUUGGACCACC